rnacentral:rRNA from 1 species
CGUGUAGGUGGAUUCGCAAGUCAAAUGUGAAAACCGGCAGCUCAACUGCCGGCCUGCAUUUGAAACUGUGGAUCUUGAGUACGGGAGAGGAAAGCGGAAUUCCUGGUGUAGCGGUGAAAUGCGUAGAUAUCAGGAGGAACACCGGUGGCGAAGGCGGCUUUCUGGCCCGAUACUGACACUGAGGCGCGAAGGGCCGGGGGAGCAAACA